rnacentral:lncRNA from 1 species
GUAACAUCCUGCAGGAGAUAAAAAAAAUCACUGAUUAGAAGUUUAAAUGCAAAUGAACUGUAUGUUAAACUGAAACAGAACUCAAGAUAAACAAGUAAGGAAAUGUAACGCUUACAUUUUUCUUAUGGGGAAAAAAGAGUGGUGAAGCAAAUGGGAAAUAAAGCCAAACAAAAUUAACUUGUGACAGAAAACUGAAGAAUGUAACUCCCCAUGGACCUGUAAGGAUUUCACGUUUGAGCACACACAGCUCUUACCGCUGAAGUUUCAUCCAGAAGUUGCCUAAAGUGUUCCCUCUUCUUUUUGGUAAGUGCUUCGAUGUGUUCAUUAAAGAGCUUUUCCUUCUCUUCUCUUUCCAGCAAGGAGCCAGACUCCCAUCGGUGGUCUUUGCGCAGGGUCCUUCUGGUAUCAGACCACGACACAUCUGAGGAACGCACCAUGUCAGACAGCAGUGCUUUGAAGUUCUGUAUAGCUUCUUCCCGUUUGUGCUGCUCACGCUCUCUGUCGAUCUCCUUGGUCUGCUCUGAACGAGCUUUCUGCACUUCUCUUUCUCGUUCACGCAAACUCGCCUCAAUGCGAGCCUGUCUUUCCAGCUCCUUUUCCUUUUCAGAAUCUAAAUUCUUAGCUAUUUUUUCAAUGUACUGUUUGAAAAGGUCUUCCCUCUGUGAAGAGCUAUCCACAGCUUUGUAACGAGGGUCAGUCUCUACUUUGUCCUUCACUUUGCUCCAGCGAGACUGACUGUCCAGGUGGUGGUUAGCCAGUAGUUCAAAGAAGUCCAUUUUGAUCUUCUCACCCCUCGUCUUCGAAUCUUCUUUUUCCUUCUUUCUUGCCGCUGUGAUAAACUCAUUAAACAAGGCCUCUCGAUCUUUCAUCUUUUCAAUUGCCUUGAAUCUCGAGUCUUUAGCAUGCUUGGCUGCAAAUUCACUAAAAGUAGUUCUCGGAUUAAUCUUUGAUUCUUCCAUCAUUUUCUUGAAAUCCUCCUUGGCCUGCAUUAUUUUGUUUUUCUUCUCCUUGCGCUCUUCUUCUGCUCGGGUUUUCACAUACUGAUCAAAUACCUGUUUUCUUUCUUUAGGGUUGAGAAGUAAAUAACGAGGAUCAAAAACUAUCUUGUGCAGUUCUUUCUCCCACGUUGAAAAAGCAGAGACCCCUCUUUCUAGAAGCAUGUCCUUGAAUU